GACGAACGCUGGCGGCGUGCCUAAUACAUGCAAGUCGAACGCUUCUUUCCUCCCGAGUGCUUGCACUCAAUUGGAAAGAGGAGUGGCGGACGGGUGAGUAACACGUGGGUAACCUACCCAUCAGAGGGGGAUAACACUUGGAAACAGGUGCUAAUACUGCAUAACAGUUUAUGCCGCAUGGCAUAAGAGUGAAAGGCGCUUUCGGGUGUCGCUGAUGGAUGGACCCGCGGUGCAUUAGCUAGUUGGUGAGGUAACGGCUCACCAAGGCCACGAUGCAUAGCCGACCUGAGAGGGUGAUCGGCCACACUGGGACUGAGACACGGCCCAGACUCCUACGGGAGGCAGCAGUAGGGAAUCUUCGGCAAUGGACGAAAGUCUGACCGAGCAACGCCGCGUGAGUGAAGAAGGUUUUCGGAUCGUAAAACUCUGUUGUUAGAGAAGAACAAGGACGUUAGUAACUGAACGUCCCCUGACGGUAUCUAAACAGAAAGCCACGGCUAACUACGUG
rnacentral:rRNA from 1 species